rnacentral:tRNA from 1 species
GGCCGUGUGGUGGAAUGGUAGACACGACGGAUUCAAAAUCCGUUGCCUUCGCGGGCGUGCCGGUUCAAGUCCGGCCACGGCUACCA